AUUUGGAGAGGAUGCUUUGGGCGCGGCGCCUUCCGAGUUCCUUGGAACAGGACGCCAGAGAGGGUGAGAGCCCCGUACGGUCGGACGCCUAGCCCGUGUAAAGCUCCUUCGACGAGUCGAGUAGUUUGGGAAUGCUGCUCAAAAUGGGAGGUAAAUUUCUUCUAAAGCUAAAUACCGGCCAGAGACCGAUAGCGCACAAGUAGAGUGAUCGAAAGAUGAAAAGCACUUUGAAAAGAGGGUUAAACAGCACGUGAAAUUGUUGAAAGGGAAGCGCCUGCGACCAGACGUGCCGCCCGUGGCUCACCCGGCGCCCUGCGCCGGGGCACGCUGCGGGCGGCAGGCCAGCAUCGGCUUCUGCAGGGGGACAAUGGCCGCGGGAACGUAGCUCCUCACGGGGAGUGUUAUAGCCCGCGGUGUCAUGCCUCUGCGGGGGCCGAGGACCGCGCUCUCUGAGCAAGGAUGCUGGCGUAAUGGCCGCCAGCGACCCGUCUUGAAACACGGACCAAGGAGUCAAGCAUUGGGGCGAGUGUUUGGGUGUCAAACCCGCACGCGGAAUGAAAGUGAACGCAGGUGGGAGCCUCCGGGCGCACCACCGACCGAUCCUGAUGUUUUCGGAUGGAUUUGAGUAGGAGCCUUACCGCUUGGACCCGAAAGAUGGUGAACUAUGCCUGUAUAGGGUGAAGCCAGAGGAAACUCUGGUGGAGG
rnacentral:rRNA from 1 species